AUUGAACGCUGGCGGCAUGCCUUACACAUGCAAGUCGAACGGUAACAGGUUAAGCUGACGAGUGGCGAACGGGUGAGUAAUAUAUCGGAACGUGCCCAGUAGUGGGGGAUAGCCCGGCGAAAGCCGGAUUAAUACCGCAUACGACCUACGGGUGAAAGGGGGGAGUCGCAAGACCUCUCGCUAUUGGAGCGGCCGAUAUCAGAUUAGCUAGUUGGUGGGGUAAAGACUCACCAAGGCGACGAUCUGUAGCUGGUCUGAGAGGACGACCAGCCACACUGGGACUGAGACACGGCCCAGACUCCUACGGGAGGCAGCAGUGGGGAAUUUUGGACAAUGGACGCAAGUCUGAUCCAGCCAUGCCGCGUGCGGGAAGAAGGCCUUCGGU
rnacentral:rRNA from 1 species